UGGGGAAUUUUGGACAAUGGGCGAAAGCCUGAUCCAGCCAUGCCGCGUGAGUGAAGAAGGCCUUCGGGUUGUAAAGCUCUUUUAGUCGGAAAGAAAGAGUUGCAAUGAAUAAUUGUGAUUUAUGACGGUACCGACAGAAAAAGCACCGGCUAACUACGUGCCAGCAGCCGCGGUAAUACGUAGGGUGCGAGCGUUAAUCGGAAUUACUGGGCGUAAAGGGUGCGCAGGCGGUCUUGCAAGUCAGAUGUGAAAGCCCCGGGCUUAACCUGGGAAUUGCGUUUNAAACUACAAGGCUAGAGUGCAGCAGAGGGGAGUGGAAUUCCAUGUGUAGCAGGGAAAUGCGUAGAGAUGUGGAAGAACACCGAUGGCGAAGGCAGCUCCCUGGGUUGACACUGACGCUCAUGCACGAAAGCGUGGGGAGCAAAC
rnacentral:rRNA from 1 species